AUUGAACGCUGGCGGCAUGCCUUACACAUGCAAGUCGAACGGUAACAGGUUAAGCUGACGAGUGGCGAACGGGUGAGUAAUGUAUCGGAACGUGCCCAGUCGUGGGGGAUAACUGCUCGAAAGAGCAGCUAAUACCGCAUACGACCUGAGGGUGAAAGCGGGGGAUCGCAAGACCUCGCGCGAUUGGAGCGGCCGAUAUCAGAUUAGGUAGUUGGUGAGGUAAAGGCUCACCAAGCCGACGAUCUGUAGCUGGUCUGAGAGGACGACCAGCCAAACUGGGACUGAGACACGGCCCAGACUCCUACGGGAGGCAGCAGUGGGGAAUUUUGGACAAUGGGCGCAAGCCUGAUCCAGCCAUGCCGCGUGCGGGAAGAAGGCCUUCGGGUUGUAAACCGCUUUUGUCAGGGAAGAAAAGGUUCUGGCUAAUACCUGGGACUCAUGACGGUACCUGAAGAAUAAGCACCGGCUAACUACGUG
rnacentral:rRNA from 1 species